rnacentral:lncRNA from 1 species
AAGGCCCGGUCGAGCUCGGCCUGAUGGUCAGUCCCUCACUGCGCCGCUAUAACCUGCACCCAAAUCGCCUUUCUCUUCUUUUCCCCUCACCAAAAUCUUCCUCUCAUCUUAUCCAGUUAAGGCCGCAGCCUUCAGGUCGCUACCACUGUUGUGGGUUGCCAUCCCCAUGAGGUUGCUGUUGUUCCGACGCGUCUACUCGUCAAGGUCGUUGCCGGGUAGUUGUGGCUGCUGGGAAUUGUUGAUGCCAGUGGUACGUCCUAGUUUUCCUUCUCUAUGGUGAUGUCUAGGUAAGACUUAGGGAUUUGGGGCAGCAGCUCAUAGAUUGGAGUUAGAUUUUAGAACUAGAGAUGGAUUCCUGAAACACUUUGCAAAUUCGUUGGUGAGCCCAGUGCUUAUACUUAUUUGGUUUUGCUUCCAGGUCAGACCUCCUCUAUGUUAGUUCCUUUGCUUAGCCAAAUAAGUUAUGGAAGAUAGCCCAUCCAUGAUGUUGUGAGAUGUGAACUGCCUUCUAGCAGAAAAACGAGAGUGUUGGGCAUCUUUGACUGUAAACUGAAUCUGGUUCACUUAAAACCGCACUGACAAAUCUGGACAGCCAGCUUCUAGGUGGAAAUCGAGUUAGUUAUGCUCACAAUUUCGAGUAGGCCUCUACAUAUGAGUUGUAAAGCAUGUUCCAAGGUUUCCGUGGAGUACUUACUUGCUUCAUUUGGAUGUACGGUUUGAGAGCAGUCGUCUAUUUGGUUACUGUCCAGAAACACAGUUUCAUGGGUACAAUAUUUUCAUAUGGAAGAUUAGGCCCUGUUGGAGGUGGACUUAAAAUAAAGUUACAACAUGAAAUUUGUAGAGAAUAUUCUGCAGAUUCUUAAACAUAUAUUAUUUGUUAGAUUCCGUGUUAUACACUAAAUCCUAUGAAAUUAUUAAAAUGAUUGUACCAUGUCGGACAAAAUUUUAUGUUUGGACUUGGGUGAAUGUAAAUAGACUUAUACUCUCAGAUUUUAUCGUCGUUGAUGAUGUGAGGAGUUAUAAUGUGAUAAAGUAUAUAUGAUCUGGGGUCUUGUGUGUAGGAGCGAUGCAAAAUUAUAUAUGCUUAUGUAAUCAGACCAUGCUUUACUGUGGCUGUGAUAUAUGCUUCAUGACAAGUGGGGGUACUUCGGAUUCGGAACUGUUUGCCUCACAAUUUGUGCCCCGCGGUUGAGGCAAGUUCAUGAUGGGAUAAUGACUUGCAUAAUCCCUACACUCUAUUUUAUUUAUGAUAUUUGUCCAUGUUAAUGAUGUUUAUUGUGAUGGAGGUGACGAUGACAAAGACAUGUUGAUUCAAGUACUUUGCUUGCAUUUGCAUAUUUGCAUUCAUGAUGAUAGAGAAAGAAAGAGUACCCUACCUUGGGUAGGCACAUUGAGACCUCCAUUGUUGGGUUGUGUCCUACUUUGGAGGAAACCUCCACGCGCUGGAGUGAGUGGAAGUCGACGGGCGUCCACUCAAGCAAUACCGGUAUACGCAAUGAAAUGAGAUGAGCAUGUAGGCAUGUAGGACACCAAUACAUGCGUUCAGUGUUGUUGAGUGUAUGGUGUUAACAUAGAUUUAGUUCUUUCUUAUGAGUAUUGUUUAUUAUUCCUUUAUGAACCUGUUGAGUCCUUGUACUCACCCUUGUUGCUUACAUGUUUUUAGGUAAACCAUGAAGACACCAUACAUGAGAGUCGUGGGGUAGCAGUAUCACCAUCUUCACUACACGAAUAUCUCAUAUGUUAACUUCUAGCACCGUGCUUUGAGACCUUGUAUGGCUUAUACCUUACUUCACAUGGUGGAUUGUCUUGGAAUUCUAGAUUUACACUUUCGCUCUGUAUGGCUUAACUAAUUUCCACUAAGACUUACAUGAUCGCCUAGAGUUUCAAAGUGGCACCUGGUUAAUGUUGGUAUUGUAGCUUUGCGCUUUAUGCUUGUGUUUGGUUCCUUUUCAUACAUAAUCAUAUGAUCUAUGUGUCAUGGAUGUCCUUAGAUA